rnacentral:sRNA from 1 species
GCAGUGGCCUUGGCCAGGCAGAAGGACACGGUGAGCCGGUCCGAGGCAGCCUACGCCACCAACACCGCGCGGCAGGGCCGGGCCGCCCCCGCCUUCAAAGCUGGUGGUGGGCCCCGUUCCACACACGCGCUGGACCUGGAGGCUGAGGACGAGAGGACGCGGCUAUGUGAUGACCGCCUGGGGCUCGCCAGCCGUGAGCUGCUGCUGCAGUGAGAGCUGGGCCUGUGGCCCUGGAGAGUGGGGCUGGGCCUGGGCUUGGGGCUCCUCACUCAGAACCACGUGGAGAAAGAGGGGUGGUCGUGGCUGAGGCAGCAGAUUCUAUGGCCAGCCGUGGGUGGGGUUCUACCCACCCCUAGAGCCUUUCUGGGGUCUCACCCGGGGUUGGGGAUCUUAGCUAACCCCUUGCAGCGGUCAGGUUGCCCACUCUCGGGCCAGGAGAGGGCCCCCAGUCAGCCCUGCAGAGCACUGAGGCUGGAGCCUGGGGUUUUCCCUGAGCCUCCAGGUCCUGUUCUCCCUCCCCAGUUGAUGGCAGGGGGUGGGACAGGGAGUCAGGCAUUGGCACC